GACGAACGCUGGCGGCGUGCCUAACACAUGCAAGUCGAACGGAGUGAAGCCCUUCGGGACUUUACUUAGUGGCGAACGGGUGAGUAACGCGUGAGGAACCUGCCUUUCAGUGGGGGACAACAGUUGGAAACGACUGCUAAUACCGCAUGACGCUUCUUGGGGGCAUCCCUGGGAAGUCAAAGAUUUAUUGCUGAAAGAUGGCCUGCGUCUGAUUAGCUAGUUGGCGGGGUAACGCCCACCAAGGCGACGAUCAGUAGCCGGUCUGAGAGGAUGAACGGCCACAUUGGGACUGAGAUACGGCCCAGACUCCUACGGGAGGCAGCAGUGGGGAAUAUUGGGCAAUGGGGGAAACCCUGACCCAGCAACGCCGCGUGAAGGAAGAAGGCCUUCGGUUGUAAACGUUCUUUAGUCUAGGACGAAGGACGUAGACGGUA
rnacentral:rRNA from 1 species